UAAAGAAGUACUUUCAAGAUCCAAAUACGAUGCUGAAAAACCUCGAAGAAGCACAAAUUCAGAGUUAAAGACAGGACUAUGGUAUGUUUUAUCUAUUUUAUGUGAAAUAUUCGUAUCUGGGCGAGUGGAAGUGUUCGAAAUUACAUGCCGAAGUUGGCGACUGCAAGUCGCUUCGCCUUCGUCUUUCGUUUUGUCUUAGCACGAAGACGAUGAGUUUAAGCCUUGUUUUUAUCAUCUUUCGUUUAAAUUAGUUGGGAAAUGUUUCGCUAGAGUAUUCGGGGUGAUUUGUAGCUAAUUUUGCUUUGAAAUUUGUCGUUUUAGAGUGGAGAAGCGCAAGAAAUGUUGAAUUCUCAACCCGUGUUCAAUGGUCAAGCCAGGCAAACUCUCGCUGUCUUGCCCGAACAUGUAUUUAAAGCGAAAUGAGACAAGGAAAUGUUGAAAUCUCCAUCUCAAGUGAAGCUCCAAUACUAACUUAGGUAUGUACAAUUGUAUUUUACGUAAAAUUUUCAUAUUUCAGCGAGUGAACGUGUCUGAAAUUAUUCGUCGAACUUGACCGCGUGUCGUUUUGGCUAUACGACUUAUACGGGGCGUAUACUGUAUAAUAAGGACAUCGAAUUUAGCCAUGGUUUUUCUUAUCUUUACUUUUAAAUGAGUAGAGAAAUGGUUUGUUAAAGUAUUCUGUGUGUUUUAAAGCUAAAAUUGUUUUAAAAUUUAUCGUUUUCAGUGAAAAGUUGGCCAAAUUCUCAACCUGUCGUUUAAUGGCCGCACGUCAAGCAAAAUCGCUGUCUUGCCUGAAGUCUAAAGUAAAAAUUAAACAAGAAAUACUUCAGGAGCGAGCCAAAGAUUUAAAUAAGGUAUGUAUUUCUAUUUAAAGAUUUUACUUUAUUCUAAAAUGUUCGUAUUCCAAGCAGUAAAAGCAUAUAUUAUCGAAAGUGACGAGCUCAUGCAAGUCGCUUUGCCUUUUUAAAGGCGUGGUGUCAUAUUAGAGUUAAAUGCUAAUAUGCUAUCCUGCCAUAUAAAUGCACUGAAUUUAGCCCAUAGCUUUGCGUCGUCUUCAGUUUUAAUUCAGUAGUGCAGAAACGUUUUAAUAAAGUUCAUUCAAGUUGUUCUGUAGAUGAAUUUAUUUUAAAAUUUGUCGUUUUAGUGCUGAGAACAAGAAAUGUUGAAUUCUUAAUAACGUCGUGGGAAUCUCGCCAAUUUUAACCCCCACAAGACGUAACGGACGAGACGCUGAGUUGCUGAAGAUGAAAGUUGUGUCGCUGGAAAACCCAAUGUACCCCAACACUGCGGUAGGCAGUCAAGUGUUUUUAAACCUGCACAUUUUUUUUUUAUUGCCCGUAUUUUUUAUUUUAUGUUCAUGUAUAACAGGACUCAUGACAUUUAAAGCUGGAAGGAGUUGAGAAAGCCCCACUCGACUGCAUGCCUUCCGUAUAUUUAAUUAAAUUAGACCCCGUUUUACAUGGUACCAUUUUACCACUGAGAAUUGCAGUAUAUAUCGAGAUUUGACUGAGCCGUUACUUUCAACUAUAUAUUUGAAAUGCUCAAAUUCAAACACCACAACGGCAACACGUUGAGUAUAGAGCCCAACUAUAUGUUCAAGGCUCCCGAGUAUAAGUAGUUUCGUAAGUAUAAAAAUAGGUACGCAUGGCGUACGUGUGGCAAGCAUGAUGAUCGCACGCAUGGGCAAGUGGCAUUGUGACUUUAUUAUUUUUCCAAGGUCUCUGGGAGACUUCCAGUCAUUCAUCAUGAGCAACAGUACAUGUAAAAAGAAAGGCGCCUCUUCUUGCGCGUACUGUUUGUCCGUGUUUGGGUGGCUGGAAGUGUUGCAGGUAUCUUGGGAUAUCUGAUAAAGUUGUGAUGUUAUUUCAACGCUGUUUCUAUAAAGGGCAGCUUGCUAUUGCUAUACGCUUUAGCCUAAAAAAAUAUUCGGUUAUUUUCAACUAAAAUGAUUACUGUUCGUUGCUGUUCCUAUACUGGGCAGCUUGCUAUUGCUAUAUGCCUUAGCCAAUGAAUAAAAGUACAGUUUAUUAUAUUACGUGCCAUGUCUAAGGAUGGCAUCAACUGUACUUAAUAUUUUUCGACAUAAUAAAUUGAUUUAACAGCGGUUUAUAUACGAGACGGCUAUUGCUAUCACUAUAUGUUCAGCUAAUAAAAUAGACAGUACAGUUUACUGAUAAGAUGUCAUUCCUAUAAGGGUGACAUCUAGUACAAUAUUGCAAUAAUUUCUCAAUGCUGCUUCUAUAAAGGGAAGCGAUUGCUUUUGCUAUUCGCUUAAGCCAUAAAUAUAACCCAGAUUGUGGUUCGUUAAGAUGCCAUUUCUAUAGAAGGGUGGUAAUUAUUGCAAGGUUUUCCAAUGCUUUAUGCUGUUUCCAUGAAGAGCAGCGAUUGCUUUUGCUAUAUGCUUAAGCUUUUAAAAACCCAUGCUGUGGUUUGUUAAGAUGCUAUUUCUACAAGGAAGACGUCUUGCUAUGAUUAUUCAUGUCGAGCUGGUUAUAUAAAGGGCAGCGAUUGCUUUUGCUAUACGCUUAAGCCAUAACCCAGACUUUGGUUUGCUAGGAUGCCAUUUCUAUAUAAGGGUGGUAUCUGUUGCAAGGUUUUCCAAUGCUGUUUCCAUGAAGAGCAGCGAUUGCUUUUGCUAUAUGCUCAAGCUUUUAAAAACCCAGGCUUCAGUUUGUUAAGAUGCCAUUUCUAUAAGGAUGACAUCUCUUACCAUAUUGCAAUAUUUCUUCAAUGCUGCAUUUCUCGAAAGGCCAGCACACGCUUUCGCUAUAUGCUUAAGCCUUCGCAACAGACCAGACUGCAGUUUGUUAAGAUGCCAUUUCUAUAAAGAAGACUUCUUACUAUGAUUGCAAUAUUACUUUAUGUAGUGCUGUUUCUAUAAAGGCAGCGCUUGCUUUUGCUAUACCCUUAAGCCAUAAAAGAAACCCAGACUGCAGUGUUAAUUUUUUAUGCCAUUUCUGUAAGGCUAGCAUCUACUGCAAGGUUUUCCAAUCCUGUUUCCUUGAAGAGCAGCGAUUGCUUUUGCCACAUGCUUAAGCUUUUAAAACCCAAGAUUUCUAUGCUGUCUGUGAAGAUGCAAUUUCUAUAAGGAUGGCAUAUCAGUUACUAGACUUACUAUAUAUUGCCGCAAUAGUUUUCCAGUGCUGUUUCUAUAAAGGGCAGCGAUUGCUUUUGCUAUAUGCUCAAGCCAUAAAAAGCCCAGACGGCAGUUAGUUAAGAUGUCAUUUCUAUAUACUGCUGGCAUAUAUCGCAAGGUUUUUUAUUGCUGUUUCCUUGAAGGGCAGCCCAUGCUUUCGCUAUAAUGCUUAAGCCUUGAAAAAACAGACUGCAGUUUAAGAUGUCAUUUCUAUAAGGAUGACAUCUUACUAUGAUUGCAAUUAUAUUAUUUCAUUGCUGUUUCUAUGAAGGGCAGUGAUUGCUUCCGCUGCAUGCUUAAGCUUUCGAAUAGAAUGUGCAGUUUCUUGAUAAAACUACUAAGUUUCACUUGCCACUAUGUGCGUUUCAGUUGCUACUUUUGGCAGAUCCUAAAGGGUCAAUGCAAUUGCCCUAACACUAUACUGAAAAAGUACAUAGUGUUUCCAAACUACGACCCGGUGAUCAACGUUGCUAUUGUGGUAAAAUGGUGCCUUGUAAGCGGGGAGUAUCGCACUAGGAUUCAUAUAUUACAGUAUCUCAAGUGCAUUAGGUCUCUUUAGGGUUGAUUAGGAACACCAUGAGCGAGUGAGAUAAACUCGACUAGCUUAGGGUAAGGCGUCAAGCGUGAAAUCACGCACUAGAGACCCCUCGGAAUCGGACCCCAAACCUUUUUUCAACACACGACGUGAAAUUUCCCCACCUGACCACCUCGUUGACGAAUAAUGGUGGGUAUCUUGGGCAAAUGUGCAAUACUAUGAGGGAUAUCUUGGGCAAAUGUGCAAUACUACGAGGGAUAUCUUGGGCAAAUGUGCAAUACUACGAGGGAUAUCUUGGGCAAAUGUGCAAUACUAUGAGGGAUAUCUUGGGCAAAUGUGCAAUAUACUCCAAAAACUGGUAUGAUUACGUUCAUUACUUGAGGAAGAUGUCGCAAGGUUAGUGGACAUUUUUAAUAGUAGCGGCAAAAUGGGGGGUCCGAACCCUACGGAACUAAGUAUAAGGCCGCAAAUGAGCGGAAACAACAUGGCGUAUACCAAUAUAGAGAUUUAACAAUAUGGCGAUUCAUAACAAUAUGGCGAAAUUCGACAUGUAAAAAUGAUGCGCGCUAAAAAUGCAAAAAUUGUGGCAUAAACAUGUUGCGGAACAUACUACUUCUAAAACUACAUGCUAAGUUGAUAAAAAAUAUUUUUUAGGCAUGACUUUAGAAAUUUUAUUUUUUAUUUUAUUUAUUAUUUUCUAUAAAUGGGGGGCCCGGAUAGUCUAAUAAUGUACAACAUAGCUAAGUUGUAUUUUAUUGUCUAAUAAUGUACAAUAUAGCUAAGUUGUAUUGUUAAAUAUAAAAUGAUAUAGCGUUGCUGUGUAAUAUAUUGUCGUAACACAAUCGGUUUUGUAAAAUAGUUGGACAAUAGACAUAUUUCUGUAAUAUAAUCUAAAUUGUUCACUUUUAUGAUACAUGUAAAAUGUGUGUUUCAUUAACACAUGUUAACUCUUUGUAAAACAAUUAAUAUUACUUUUUGUAAUAUAUGACGUACAUCAUUGAAUUCUAUGUAACAUCGAUGUAAUACGAGAUUAUUAAUGUAAAACAUUCAGAAUGACG